UUUGUCAGCACGAAAUAUUUAAGACAACAAAGGCAGGCAGGCAGGAAGGAUAUUUUGUCAAUAGCACUAAAUAUUUAUGACAACAAAGGCGAAGACCAAGGGUUUCCCUCUGACCAGCACACCAUGAGGCACAAGAUAGGUUCAACAGACUGUUUCACAUCAUUUGUAUUGUCACUGAAUCUUCUGGGAGGAGAAAUCUGCACUCGCUGUCUUUGCUUCCUUAACCCAGUCACUCAGCAACCCACUGCUCCCUGACUUCACACCUCAUCUCCACUGAAACUGCUUUGCUAGCUAAUCCCCACUCAUCCUUCAAGAUUCAGGUCAGUAGCCAAUUUGAGGAAUACUUCUUUGACCCCUUUGGUGGAAUUAAGAGCUGCUUUCAGAGCUCAAGGUAAUGUAUAUAUGACGUCUGUCCUUGCACUUACUGUGUAGUAUUGAAAAAUAUCUGUUUACAUCUGUCUUUGUUACCAGAUAUAAAUGAGUUCCUCAAGGUCAGAGACUGUUUUUAUGCAUUUCUAUAUCUCCAACACCUGGCAAAGUGCCUAGGCCGUAAAAGAUGAUCUGCCUCUGAAACCUUCCAUGGGCACAGAAAUUUCUGCAAGGAAAGCAUCAGCAGUCAGAAUAAUUUGGUGAGGCAGAUUUGGCACAGAAUACCCUGACUGAGGUAUUGCUCCCAAAGGAGCAAUUCUCUGGGGUUAGGAGUCAAUCAUUAGGUGCCUACAAAACACCUUGUUAUUUUGACUAAACCUGCCUUGCUAUCAAGGAGAAAAAAGAACUGUGCACUGAAAACCAGAACGGCCAAAAAAGAAUGCGGCUGUGGUCAUGGAAAAGGUCCUUGAAUAACAGGGAAAGGGAGACAGGGCAGUUGAAGGAAGGAUAGGAAAAGGCUACUUCCUAGCAGGAAUUAAUAAACUAAUGUUUUUAUUAUUUAAUAAGAGAAACCCAUUCCCUUGUUUCAAAUAAGGCAAAGAUAAGUUAGGAUUGGAUGUAGCUAUAGAUCACUAUUUCUGGCACAGGCUGGUAAAAAUAAAGGAGGUCAGAACACAACCCCACUCUCACCCAUAUCCCACUUUGCAAAAACCAUGACCCAACUGCCUCUGUAGAUACUGGACUGUGGACUGCAGGCGAAGCUUCAGAAGCCUUUGCUCUACUGAGUGAUCUACCUUUAGAUUGACAGCAGCAGCUGCGGAGUAACAUCUGAAUGUUGACUGACAAUGCAGUUUGUGGGAAUAAAGCAGGGAGGGAAACCCUUUAACCAGUUUCCAUUUCUUGGUGUCUUGAUGUUUUCAUCUUACUAAAGAAUCAAACCGUGGUAUAAUCCAGAGGAAGAGCAUCCCUCAUCCUGGCAGCCCUGCUAUACCACAUCUGCUUAUCCAUAGUGAAAGAAACCAUAUUUUUAAGAAAAUAUGAAAUGCAGAGAUGAAAACUGUUUUAGAGCAAAUGAUUUUAAAUAAAAAGAAGGUUGCGUACUCAUUUUAAAUGAUUUUAAUUUUCUGAAUAUUAUGUUCCAACUCAAGAUAUUGCACAAUGCUUUAAUAUUACACUUGUUAUUUUUCUCACACUAGUGAGAUUUUGAUAAACAUAGUUGACUUUGGAAGUAACAGAGAAUGUUUUCAUUGGUUAAAUAAUUUCAAUGACCUGUGAGGAACUGAAAGCAAGCUAUUACAUUCAUAUAAAAGAUAAGUACAUAUCCAUAAAUUCACUUGGAUUCAAUGAAAAAUAAUAAACUCAUGUACUUGAUAAAACUUAAAGGAAACAAAAUUUUAAAUGGUGCAAAAAUAGAAAGUAUUUCUUAAAGUUUUCAGUGUACUUUUGCUUUUGAAAACCCUUAGACCUAAAAGAAUUCUAAGAAUAUCAGGCCACAUUAUAAACCCCUUAUUUGUAGAAGCAAACAGUUGAUAAUUUUAAAACAAAAUCUAGAUUAAAUAAAUAUAGUUCUUCAUUAUUAAAAUAAUAAAAUCUAUGAUGGUAAGGUAAAAUUUCCCUAAAUAAUAUAAACAAAAAACGACACCAGAAAAUAAAUGUAUCAUGUUAUGGCAUCUUUAAACAUUUCUGUCCAAAUGUAUGGAUCUACAGCAUUUUCCCUAGGUAACACACACAGUUGUUAUCACAUUAUUAUGGAAUAAAUGCUGAAAAAUUAAGAAAAAAAUACUAAUGGUCACUAGGCCAAAGUCAAUUCCAAAAAACUCUCUCAAUUUUUAUAAACUUUUAUUAUAGUGAUUUUUAUUGUAUUACAACAAUUUUUUUCUUUUUUUGCUUUGCUUUGCGAUUCAUAUUUUUAGCAGAGGCAUAGCACUGGAGAUAAAGAAGAGGAAAUAUGCCUCAGGUGCCAGUUGUGUUUUAUUAACUUCCAUUUUGCACUUUUGCUAUUUUUAGACUUGUUGCUCAUCAGAUGCAUGAACACACCCUACUUUUGCUUUUUUUUUUUUUUUUUAAUUCAUUUCCAGGAAAACUCAACCACAGCAUUAGGAGAAAAGGCAAAAACUUUACAUUGUCUGAUACACCAUUUUUUCUUGCUCUGCCACUGAUUUUUAGUAACUGUGUAUUACUGAAGUAGUGUUGUCUCUAUUAAUGCUUAGAGAUUACACACCAUAAAUUUUUUUAUGGUCAUCCUAAGAUACAAUGAAUUCUUCACAUUUUGUGAAAAUCAUAGGCAUCUGACAGCUGGUGUAUUUAUCUACUAUCUUCAUCAAACUCGAAUAUUUUAUAAAAUACUUGAGAAAAGCUCUCUACCAAAGAUAUCCUCAUGAAACACUCUCUUAUCAGAAAGAAAAGGGUAAAAUUACGGAUUACUUCAAUUGAACUAGAAACACUGAUUAUGAUUAUAUUUCAGAAAACAGUUACAAUUAUUUCAUUAAAAAUGAUUCUCAUUUAGA